rnacentral:tRNA from 1 species
GGAGGGUUAGCUCAGUAUGGUAGAGCGUCACAUUCUAAAGUGAAGGUCGUGGAUUCAAAUUCUACACUCUCUCA